rnacentral:rRNA from 1 species
UGCAAGUCGAACGGCAGCACGGGGGCAACCCUGGUGGCGAGUGGCGAACGGGUGAGUAAAACAUCGGAACGUGUCCUGUAGUGGGGGAUAGCCCGGCGAAAGCCGGAUUAAUACCGCAUACGCUCUGCGGAGGAAAGCGGGGGAUCUUCGGACCUCGCGCUACAGGGGCGGCCGAUGGCAGAUUAGCUGGUUGGUGGGGUAAAGGCCUACCAAGGCGACGAUCUGUAGCUGGUCUGAGAGGACGACCAGCCACACUGGGACUGAGACACGGCCCAGACUCCUACGGGAGGCAGCAGUGGGGAAUUUUGGACAAUGGGGGCAACCCUGAUCCAGCAAUGCCGCGUGUGUGAAGAAGGCCUUCGGGUUGUAAAGCACUUUUGUCCGGAAAGAAAACCUCUGCCCUAAUACGGUGGGGGGAUGACGGUACCGGAAGAAUAAGCACCGGCUAACUACGUGCCAGCAGCCGCGGUAAUACGUAGGGUGCAAGCGUUAAUCGGAAUUACUGGGCGUAAAGCGUGCGCAGGCGGUUCGCUAAGACAGAUGUGAAAUCCCCGGGCUUAACCUGGGAACUGCAUUUGUGACUGGCGGGCUAGAGUAUGGCAGAGGGGGGUAGAAUUCC